rnacentral:rRNA from 1 species
GACGUAGGGGGCAAGCGUUGUCCGGAAUUAUUGGGCGUAAAGCGCGCGCAGGCGGCCCGGUAAGUCGGUUGUGAAAACACGAGGCUCAACCUCGUGCCUGCAUCCGAUACUGCCGGGCUUGAGGCAGGUAGGGGAGAUCGGAAUUCCUGGUGUAGCGGUGAAAUGCGCAGAUAUCAGGAGGAACACCGGUGGCGAAGGCGGAUCUCUGGGCCUGUCCUGACGCUCAGGCGCGAAAGCUGGGGGAGCAAACAGGAUUAGAAACCCCCGUAGUCC